UUGCCGCAUUGAUGUCCAAAACCCUCUUGAGAGAGAGAGAGGGAGAGGUCAUCUUGAGAUGAGCGACUUGUGGGUCUUUCUCUCCAAUGGAUCGGUUCGUCAGUGCCCAGGCUCCUUGUCUCUCGGUAGGAGGGCCUCCCUCUCAAGCGGGAGUGACUGGAAGUGCUACUGCUCUUAGCAAAGUCUUGGGAUUAGUUCGUGAGCUUGUUCUUGCUGCUGUAUUUGGUGUUGGUCCUGUCGUAGAUGCGUUCGGGUAUGCAUCGAGUUCAUGGUGCUCUUCGCUAAGUUCGAAAGUUUGUAGAUAUGCGUCCCUUGUACCAGGAUUUUUUCUGAUAAUCCUUGGAGGAAUCAAUGGACCAAUCCACAUAACAAUGGUAUCGGCCUUAAGAUAUCUUUGAGCCUUGGCAUUCUCAUGUACACAUUAGCGGCUUUUCUUAUUGAUGCAAUCGCACCAGGAUUGUUAUUGAAAACAAGCGGUGGAUUGAUCACGAGAAGCAUGGCUAUACUUCAGCUGAGAAUCAUGGCGCCUUGUGUAACACUCGCGUGCUUGAUGGGAAUCGGCUGUGGAAGUUUUGACCGAGCUUUCACGUCCAGUUUGUAGCCAAACUUUGGAAUGGGUUUUCAUGUGCAGUGUCUCGGGAAGAUACGGGAUUGCAUCCUUGAGUCCUGCUCUAUCAAGCAUAUCGAUCAUUCUCGCGGCUGCAAUUCAUUGCAAGCUUUGCAAUCCUCAUUGCCUUGAGCUUUAAAGUCGAUUCAUACAAAGUGGUGCUUGACAGGAGGUGUUUUGCUCGUUUUGGCCUCGACAGUGGGAGCUUUGGCUCAAUGGCUUUUGCAGAUCUUUGCUCAAGAUGAUCGAGGCAUCAAACUUUGCAUGCUUUUAAUGACCGCUCUCGCGAUCCCUCUCGCUAAACCGAUCGUCCGAGCUCUCGUCCAGUGCUACACAUUUGGCGACUCCGCCGCUCAAGCCGUAUCAUCGCUCGUCAAACACUAUGCGAUGGGCUCUACUUGCGACCUCCUUGAACGUAUUUUCUACGCUCUUGGCGAUCUCGAUUUUACGUGAACUUGGCUGCCAUCUAACGCUCUCUUGGACUGGCUGCUCGUUGGAAAACUUUGUGGAAACUCUCUCUCUCUCUCUCUCUCUCGUGCUCCAGGUAAUGGCCACUUCAAUGGCACCGCUACGUAAAAUUCUAGAUGGGCCUGACAGCCAAAGCUUUUGGAGAAGCUCACAACACCGGCUCCUCAGAUGAUCAAACUUCCGGUUGCUUCCUUUUGUUGCAGCUUUUAGACGACGGUGCGACCUUGUCAGGGAUCCCAAAAUUUAGCGCAUGACUGUUGCGGAGUUUUUGGAACGGAGUGGAGGCUCCACGCUUGUUGAUGUAAGCUGGUGCCCCAGAAGGAGGCUUUCUUCAAGACUGUCGGAAAUAUGUAUCAACACAGCUGUCCGAGGAACUUAGCUGGAUCAAGGUUGAAAAGGAGUUGCUUCAUCUGCGAGAGAUCCAAGCAGGAGGUAAAUCGAAGCUGGUUAAGGCAGACUUUCCUUUUGUGAUUCAGUUUAAAACACUUGACUUGAGAGCAGGACUGACUUGAAAGAUGGCUUACCAGCCGGGACCUGCAAAUACAUGCUGCGCAGGUGCAAACUUUGUCAUCGAGCAGGAUGAAAUGACAAGCUUCACAAGCAUGACGGUAGUCUCCUCAUUUCGUGAGUGCAAAUGCUUUUCUUUUUGUUGUUCUCCCCACACAAGGCCCGAUUUCAAGCUAAAAUCCCAAUUGCGAGCAAGCAAUUCUAAUCUUAGCCUUGAUCGUGUCA